UUCUUUUUUUAGCAUGAAAUGCUUCAGUUUUAUUUUAUUUGGCCUUCAUUGUAAAAACACCCCUAGCAAUCGUGGGAAACGAGGGUCAAACUGCUACCAUUCAAGGUCCACCUCAGUUUCUGCAUUCUCACGUGACUCCAGCUCCAUGCAAAGCGAGUGCAGGUGUUUACUGUAAGGAGGAGAAGAAAGGACGAGAACGUCAGCGGCCUCCUCAGAGCCUGGAUGGCAGAUGGAGAGGAGCAGGAAUACAGAAACUCGAGGCAGAAAGGCAAAGCAAGUGAAUAGGGAAGAAUCCGAUCCAUGUGGGAAGGAAGACCACCCGUAAUGAGGGCAGAAGCUCAAAGUGCAGGCAGGUGCUGCACACUGAAUCAAACAUUGUGGAAAUACUGGACUGAAAAACAACAUAAAAAAUAUUUCACUUCUACAUCAUGGUAGAUUUCCACGAGGAUCUAUUGCAGUGUAAAAUUCACUUUUCUCAGCCUCUCAGUAGACAAAUACAGAGAGAAUCUCCAGAGUUCUGUGCUGGAAGAUGAGGAAGAGAUCAAGAAGAAGUGAACAUCACCUGGUUAAUACUUUGACAACAGUACAAUGCAGCAAUAUUCUGCCUUUGUACUCGACCAUAAGCUGCAUUAAUUACUCCCACAGCAGAGUGGGUUUCAAAGAGGAAAGACGAGUGACGCUCGUCGUCUUGGAGCCAGUUUGUUUAUGAGCUGGCUCUGUGAGCGAGAAACAUGGAGUCAUUAUGUUCAGAUUGAUGGAGGAACUCACGUCUCGCCUUGUCUUUCACCAAGAUAAUCAAACAUUAUUGACAUGCUGAGGAGGACGUUACUACCAGGACAUUGAACCGGGGGAAGAACGAAAACAUGCAGGAUACUGAAGUGAUAUUGUGUAUAUUGCACAAUAUUUUGUGUAGAAAGUAGCAGAAGAAGUUGGACUCUUCAGAAAGAGGGCAAAAUCUUUAAGUGGAGAACUUCUUGUUUCGUUCCGGAGUCCUGGUGGCAUAAAGCAAGGGAUGGAUAGAAAAACCAAGCUUGCUUUGUUUUACUUCAAUGUGAGCA